CUGGGUUAUGGAGAUAUGGUACCAGCGACAGUGAUGGGUAAGGUAGUAGGAGGUGUUUGUUCAUUGAGUGGUGUACUAGUCAUUGCUCUUCCCGUUCCAGUUAGUUCGUUGCGUUC
rfam:Anisakis simplex genome assembly, scaffold: ASIM_scaffold0000009